rnacentral:sRNA from 2 species
AGACCACUUGGAGAACAGUGUGCUCUCUUAUGACUCCCGCCAGUAAUGAGUUCUUACCACAGCUGGAGUCAUGGACGGAGAAAGCGAAUAAGAAGGGAAUGGGAAGGGGUUUAGUACAUGUACCGUACCUCAGAGCUUCCAGUUGAGAAAGACGAUAUCUACGCUGCAGCAGCUGAUAUGAACGUUCCAGUCGCAUUUCCCAUACUUCUGAUCUUUAGGCUUUAUUGAUAAUUAUAAUUGCAUAAAUUGUUCUUGUUCUACUAUGAACCCUCUUUCGGCCCAAGAACCUGACUGAGAGCCUACACAAAAUUUUACAGUCGCUCGUCUAUGAGGCGGAAUAUUUGUACAGUACAUUUAUCAAUCAUCAUCUAUACCAACAUAU